CGCACUCUCACGCUGAGGCGCGAGCUCAUUCUUCCAAGAGAACAGUGAGCGCAUGAUUUAGAAUUACCGUUAUUUUCCGUUAUCUUCUAACCGUUGGCCUUCUUCUAGACUUCACUUCAGCCGUUAACUCAGCCAGUCCAAGAUGUAUUCUAUAGUUGUUUUUACUGAAAAGAAUGAGACAGAGGUGAUACCAAGUGACUGGCUGAGCAUCGACAAAAAAAUUUCCUUUUGGCCCCCAUAUAACAGUACAAAAUGUAGAAAAGCGGUUGAAAAAAAUUAAACUCCUGAUGAAGAAUGGAACGAAUAUAUAACUGAAUGGGUGGCUGAGUAUGAUUCCUAUGAAAAAGCCAGAAGAAAGCUGGUGAAGUUUUGUAAAGGCAACAGUUUGGAGUCUACAGAUGAGGACAGUGUACGGAAAAGAGU